AGUCGAGGGGUAUGGUUCUUCGGAACCAGAGACCGGCGCACGGGUGCGUAACGCGUAUGCAAUCUGCCUUUCACAGAGGGAUAGCCCAGAGAAAUUUGGAUUAAUACCUCAUAGUAUAGCGACAUCGCAUGAUGAUGCUAUUAAAGUCACAACGGUGAAAGAUGAGCAUGCGUCCCAUUAGCUAGUUGGUAAGGUAACGGCUUACCAAGGCAACGAUGGGUAGGGGUCCUGAGAGGGAGAUCCCCCACACUGGUACUGAGACACGGACCAGACUCCUACGGGAGGCAGCAGUGAGGAAUAUUGGUCAAUGGGCGCAAGCCUGAACCAGCCAUGCCGCGUGCAGGAUGACGGUCCUAUGGAUUGUAAACUGCUUUUGCACAGGAAGAAACACUGAUUCGUGAAUCAGCUUGACGGUACUGUGAGAAUAAGGAUCGGCUAACUCCGUGCCAGCAGCCGCGGUAAUACGGAGGAUCCAAGCGUUAUCCGGAAUCAUUGGGUUUAAAGGGUCCGUAGGCGGUCUGGUAAGUCAGUGGUGAAAGCCCAUCGCUCAACGGUGGAACGGCCAUUGAUACUGCUGGACUUGAAUUAUUAGGAAGUAACUAGAAUAUGUAGUGUAGCGGUGAAAUGCUUAGAGAUUACAUGGAAUACCAAUUGCGAAGGCAGGUUACUACUAAUGGAUUGACGCUGAUGGACGAAAGCGUGGGUAGCGAACAGGAUUAGAUACCCUGGUAGUCCACGCCGUAAACGAUGGAUACUAGCUGUUGGAAGCAAUUUCAGUGGCUAAGCGAAAGUGAUAAGUAUCCCACCUGG
rnacentral:rRNA from 1 species